CACACACAAAACAGCCUGUCAUGGCUGGCUUUGCCGAGAAGGAAGACAGGCCCUUGAGUGUUUUCCAGUAACCCGCUCUCUAUGCUGGUUCUCACACGAGAAAGAAACUCAGAGUCACAAAAGUUGCCAUUGGAAACUCUGUCUGGCUGUGUGGUAAUAUCACCCACUUCCCAAGGUCCAGAAACCGAAGCCCCUCUACAGAGAAGUGGAGCCUUUCUUUCUUUACAAGUACAUGGUGUGCUUUGCCCCAGAUUCUUAGUGAGAAGCUCUUGCAAACAGCAAUAGGACUGUGAGCAUAAAAAUGAGGUAUGGAAAUAUGACAUCAAGAUAAGCCUGAUCUAAUAUAAUGAGAAGUUCUGCAAUGACCAGAAAUUCACCUUCACGUUCAUGCCAAUCCUUCCACUCGAGAUUAUCCAUUUACUGUGGUUACCGCCAUACAGAGAGGAGCUGGAGUGGUUCUGUCCUUUCUGUGUAAAUGGGAUGACUAUCAAUACAGCAAAGGCUUUCAGGAGGGAGAAGGUCUCUGAUCCUCUGAAAUUUGUGCAAAUGUGUCUCUGUCAUUUGGCAUGUGAAUUUUUCUGGGAAAAUACAUCUGUAACUUUCCUCAGAUUAUCAGAAUGGUCCAUGACCCCAAAUGCAUUAAGAACCAAUGAACUUAAAGAGGGCACGUAUUGAAUGGAGCACUGGGUGUUAUAUGCAAACAAUGAAUCAUGGAACACUACAUCAAAAACUAAUGAUGUAAUGUAUGGUGAUUAAUAUAACAUAAUAAAAUAAAAUUUUAAAAAAAGGUAUAAGGUUAAAAAAAAAGAACCAAUGAACUCAAGUGUCACCAGGUAAA